rnacentral:rRNA from 1 species
CCUACGGGAGGCAGCAGUGGGGAAUAUUGCACAAUGGGCGCAAGCCUGAUGCAGCAACGCCGCGUGAAUGAUGAAGGCCUUCGGGUCGUAAAGUUCUGUCCUAAGGGAAGAAUACAGUGACGGUACCUUAGGAGGAAGCCCCGGCUAACUACGUGCCAGCAGCCGCGGUAAU